UGCCCCAAAUCCCUUCUGACCAGCAGCCUGGUGGGUGGUAAAGGUCACACAUUGGAUUGGGGUAAGUCCCUUACCAGCCGUGGGACUUUGGGCAAGCACUCUAAGGUCUCCGGGCCUCAGUUUCCCCAGACAGCUGGAAGGAUGAAAUGAGAGGCUGCACAGUGAGCCCUGAGCCUGACCCGACUCCCGGAUAACCCUCUGUCAAGCUCGCUGCUAUCCUGCAUCGAACCUCCGAGAUCCUACCUGGCAGCGGCGGAGGGGACAGGAUGACAGACGACCUGGCCUCCUUCAGACAGAAAUCUCCCCGCAAGGCCCAGCCAAGCGGGUGCAGACUUGCCCGCCUCCCCCACCCCCAGAACCUCCGGCAGCAGCAGACGAUCAAAAAGGAAACGUGAGCAAAACCGAACGGUUGGCCGGCGGCGCCAGCUGUUGAUUUAUUCUUGGGAAGGGCCCCGCGUCCCCCGGAACGGUGACCUCUAUUAAUGUUGACGUGUUCAAAAGCCGCGUAUUGGGAUGCAGCGCGCCUCUCCUGUCCCUUUAAAGAACCUGCCGUUCGGUUUCAAAGCCCCUGGCCGAGCGUGAGUAGUGUCUGGGAGUGCAAUUCCUCGAGGAGGAACAUUCCAUCAAACGCCGCGUGAUAAAUGGGGGCCCGAGCCACUGUAGACACUCACUUUGGACGAGCGGCCCCGCGCCGGAGACUUCACUCGCAGGGAUGAAAGGAGAUUCAUUCCAAACGGAAUGGCUGAGCAAACAGCCGGCGCCCCUGUGCCCCCUCCUUCGCUGCACCCCACCCUGGCCCCCCGGAACAGAACCCAUGACAGGGCCUCGGGGGGCCUCUGGGUGCCCGGGGUGAGCAGGGUGCUUUGCAGCCUCGGUCUCCUUGCAGGCUCGCCACUUGCAGCCUGGGGGGAGUUGGCGCCCACCUCCUGCAGGAGCUCACGAAGCCCAGAGGGGAUGGGACCUGCCUGAGGUCGCACAGCCCAGGAAGCCUCCUCAGGAUGCCAGCCCUGGCCAGGCUCUCGAGGGCAAGCAGUACCAGCCGCAGCACCUCACAGCCGGGAGACAGAGGCCCAGGUGGGCGGACGGGACUGCCCCAGGCCCCAGGGCCAAUUCAGCAGAGAGAAUUUUCUAGAAUCAGAGAAAGGAAGCGGAGCCUCUGGGCCGUGGCGGUUGGCACUUUGUGGAUUUCCAUUUUGUGGAAGUCCAUUUUCUCCGCUCUCUUCCUCCUCUUCUUCCUCCUUUCUGUAGCCAAGGGCAGAGGAGGGAGGGGGAUUCACCUGAUGAGAGCAGAGAAGUCGCCAGGGGAGAGAGAGCCUGUGGGUCACGCAGCCGCCCUGGGGAGGAGUUGGGUAAUGCCGAGUCUCCCUUUCAUGCACGAGGGCCGUCGGCGGGAUUGGAAGGAAUGGAUUAGAUGGAAGAAGCAAUCCAGUCUCAUUCUGUUCUUUGGGGUCAGUGAAGCCCAGAGGAGAGCAAGCGUUUCUAGAAUCACACAGCACUGGGGUUGGAGCCAGAGCCAGAGGAGUCCACCAUCCAGGGCAGGAACCCAAGAGAUGACACCAGGUGGCCCUCCAUCAUGCCGAGAGCUCUGGGUGGGCCCCGGCUGGCAGAGUUGAUGACAUCCGUCCUUUACUCAUGGCGAGCGCUCCCUCCGGGAUGGACACGCGGCGACACGUUCUCCGUGGGUAAACUCACUUGCAUCUCCCGGCAACAAGGGGCAACCAUGGUUCUCCCUGUUUUAGAGGUGAGUGGAGCAAGGCUCAGGGUGAUGCGCUGUCUCGCCGGAGACCCACCGUCCGCAAGUGGCUGAGUCGGGAUUUGGACCGAGCACCGUCCGACUCCAGAGACAAAGUGGUUAAGAGCGGUCUUUCUCUUCCUCUCAAAAUACCUGGUUGUGCUGAACUCACCCUUCUUCUUCUUCUUCUUCUUCUUCUUCUUCUUCUUCUUCUUCUUCUUCUUCUUCUUUUUUUUAAAGAUUUUAUUUAUUUAUUCAUGAGAGACACAGAGACACAGACAGAGGGAGAAGCAGGCUCCCUGUGGGGAGCCCGAAGCAGGACUCAAUCCUGGGACCCCGGGGUCACAUCCUGAGCUGAAGGCAGAUGCUCCACCGCUGAGCCAGCCCGGUGCUCCAUGAACUCACCCUUCCUCUUUGGUGAUGUGAGCUUAGAAAAUGCCUGAGAGGAGGCGAGGUGCAGGACAGCGAUACCGUGGUGUAGUGCUAGGCUCCUACUGACCCGACAGUAUGUCAGAAGGAAGGUCACCUGCUUCCAGACCGGACCUGAGCAUGGGGAACUGGAACCACCCAAAGUGAGAGUACAAAUGGUGGACGGAGGGACCACUGAGCUUAGUGAAUUGGGGGUACCGUCAAGUUGUUUGACACGAGGGAAGCAGAGUGCAUGAUUCGCACCUGUAUUUAUUUACUCAAGCGUACUUGUGUAUCUACUGUGCGAAGAUUGUACGCAGUGAUGACCUGAAACCGAAACUUUGGGGGCUAAUUUUUAAGAAUUGAGUUCUAAUUGAUCUGCCAUGAGAUGCACAGAGCUUAAAUAUUUUUAAAAAAUUAUUUAUUUAUUUGUUCAUGAGAGACACAGAGAGAAGCAGAGACACAGGCAGAGG
ensembl:lncRNA